rnacentral:rRNA from 1 species
GACGAACGCUGGCGGCGUGCUUAACACAUGCAAGUCGAACGGAAAGGCCCUGCUUUUGUGGGGUGCUCGAGUGGCGAACGGGGGAGUAACACGUGAGUAACCUGCCCUUGACUUUGGGAUAACUUCAGGAAACUGGGGCUAAUACCGGAUAGGAGCUCCUGCUGCAUGGUGGGGGUUGGAAAGUUUCGGCGGUUGGGGAUGGACUCGCGGCGGAUCAGCUUGUUGGUGGGGUAGUGGCUUACCAAGGCUUUGACGGGUAGCCGGCCUGAGAGGGUGACCGGCCACAUUGGGACUGAGAUACGGCCCAGACUCCUCCGGGAGGCAGCAGUGCGGACUAUUGCACCCUGGGCGGCAGCCUGAUGCAGCAACGCCGCGUGCGGGAUGACGGCCUUCGGGUUGUAAACCGCUUUCGCCUGUGACGAAGCGUCAGUGACGGUAAUGGGUAAAGAAGCACCGGCUAACUACGUG